rnacentral:snRNA from 1 species
AUGCUCACUUCGGCAGCACAUAUAUUAAAAUUGGAACAAUACAGAGAAAAUUAACAUGGCCCCUACACAAGGAUGAUACACAAAUUCGAAGAGCAUUCCAUAUUAAA